rnacentral:rRNA from 1 species
GACGAACGCUGGCGGCGUGCCUAAUACAUGCAAGUAGGACGCAGUUGCGAACGGGUGAGUAACGCGUAGGUAACUACCUAUUAGAGGGGGAUAACUAUUGGAAACGAUAGCUAAUACCGCAUACUAGUAGAUGGACCUGCGUUGUAUUAGCUAGUAGGUAGGGUAAUGGCCUACCUAGGCAACGAUACAUUGCCGACCUGGAAGGGUGAACGGGCAAACUGGGACCGAGACACGGGCCAGGAUCCUACGGGAGGGAGCAGUAGGGAAACUUCGGCAAUGGGGGGAAACCUGACCGCGCAACUCCGCGUUGGGGAAGAAGGUUUUCGGAUCUUAAAGGUCUGUUGUUAAGGAAGCGGUACUUAACCAGAAAGGGACGGCUAACUACGUGCCAGCAGCCGCGGUAAUAC